rnacentral:rRNA from 1 species
CUCCUGCAACUAAGUUGAGUAUAGGAGGUCCAGCCUGCCCAGUGACUACGGGUUCAACGGCCGCGGUAUUUUGACCGUGCAAAGGUAGCGCAAUCACUUGUCUCUUAAAUAGAGACCUGUAUGAAUGGCUAGACGAGGGCUUAACUGUCUCCCCCAUCAAGUCAGUGAAAUUGAUCUAUCCGUGCAGAAGCGGGUAUAAUCAUAC